ACGGAAGGCAGCAGUGGGGAAUAUUGGGCAAUGGGCGAAAGCCUGACCCAGCGACGCCGCGUGAGGGAAGAAGUCUUCGGAUUGUAAACCUCUUUCAGCAAGGAAGAAGAAAGUGACGGUACUUGCAGAAGAAGCCACGGCUAACUACGUGCCAGCAGCCGCGGUAAUACGUAGGUGGCGAGCGUUAUCCGGAAUUACUGGGUGUAAAGGGUGUGUAGGCGGGGAACCAAGUCAGAUGUGAAAAUUAUGGGCUCAACCCAUAACCUGCGUCUGAAACUGGCUCUCUUGAGAGUGGGAGAGGUAAACGGAAUUCCUGGUGUAGCGGUGAAAUGCGUAGAUAUCAGGAGGAACACCGGUGGCGAAGGCGGUUUACUGGACCACAACUGACGCUGAGACACGGAAGCGUGGGGAGCAAACAGGAUUAGAUACCCUGGUA
rnacentral:rRNA from 1 species